AUGCGACCUCAGGUCAGGCGGGGCUACCCGCUGAGUUUAAGCAUAUCAAUAAGCGGAGG
rnacentral:rRNA from 1 species